CCCCUCUCAGGGUCACGCCUGGGGAAUUUCCAAUACUCUACCAGUCUCGGCUACAGGAGGGAGAGUCAAGCAGAGGCAUACACACUCCAUUCCUAGCUUGGGUAGUGGCUAGUGAGUGGAAGACAAUCUGCUACAAGG